rnacentral:RNase_P_RNA from 1 species
ACACUCAGGUAAUCGCUGGUAUCAAUAGAUAUUAGAGGAAAGUCCAUGCUCGCACAAUCUGAGAUGAUUGUAGUGUUUGUGCCAGUUGAAAAAAUAAGACUGGGUAACAAUAGUUAACGGCGGAAUUACUUUCUAAGGUAUUGCUAUGAAAGUAAACCCUAAGGUGUCACAGUGACGUAGUCUUUUGGGAAACUGAAAGAGUGGAACGAGAUAAACCCCGCAAGCGAGAAACCCAAAUUUGGUAGGGGAGCUGAUUUAAUACGAAAUGAAGUAUGAGUCGGACAUGAAAAUGUAGAUAAAUGAUUGCCACAAGGAAACUUGGACAGAACAUGGCUUAUCGAG